rnacentral:piRNA from 1 species
UCAGUUUUCAAAAGGAUUUGUGGUUCUGG